rnacentral:rRNA from 1 species
GACGAACGCUGGCGGCGUGCCUAAUACAUGCAAGUAGAACGCAGUUGUGAACGGGUGAGUAACGCGUAGGUAACUGCCUGGUAGCGGGGGAUAACUUUUGGAAACGAUAGCUAAUACCGCAUACUACAAGAUGGACCUGCGUUGUAUUAGCUAGUUGGGGGGGUAACGGCUCACCAAGGCAACGAUACAUAGCCGAACUGGGAGGGGGGUCGGCCAAACUGGGACUGAGACACGGCCCAGACUCCUAAGGGAAGGAGCAGUAGGGAAUUUUCGGAAAUGGACGGAAGUGUGAACGAGCAAAGGCGCGUGAGUGAAGAAGGUUUUCGGAUCGUAAAGCUCUGUUGUAAGAGAAGCGGUAUCUUACCAGAAAGGGACGGCUAACUACGUGCCAGCAGCCGCGGUAAUAC